CUGUUCAUUAGAAUUGCCGGUUUUGCCCUCAUUCGAGAUUUUUUUACGGUUCUGCCACUGAGCUAUACUAGAUGCUUCCAUCAGUUUCUUCUUUCUUCUACGGCCAUCGGUUUCUUCUCUCUUUUGAUGGUUUCUCUCUUCAUCACUCAGUACGACAUCGAAGAAGUACAGCAACACAUGUAACAACCCAACAAUCUCGCCGUUCCUUGAUUUCAUUAGUGAAUCACGACCCUUGAUCUGUGCGUGACCUAUGUAGUUUCGCAGCAGGAGAUAGUUUCUCUGUACGAGAGGUUCUGUCAGCUCGAUCAUAGUGGCGGAGGUUUCAUCUUCGUCGACGAGUUUUUGUCCGUACCGGAAUUCGCACCCAAUCCUCUCUCUCAGUUUUGGGUGGGUGGACGUAGAUACUGGGGGAGAGGGAUUGGAGCAAGACCACACUUGCUCUGAGAAGAUGCUUCUGUAUCAACGCCCAAUUUCCUUUCCUCAUCAGAGAGAUUUGAUCCAACAACAAAGCUACUUAGUUUUGGUAUAUUUACGUGCCAAUGAUCUCAGUGAGGCCGAGAAUACAACAGAGGAUUAAAAGCGCAGAGCUCAGGAUGUUAACCGAGGAGCAAGAAAAUGAACUUCUGAACUUUACACCAUUCAUUCCAUUGAUGUCUCCCUUGUUGUAGUGACGUUGAUCCCAUAGUAGCAUCUUCUCUGCAGGAGCAUCAGAGAUGUAAAUAUUGUCUUGGAACUGCUUAUGGCUCAUCUUCUGAUGCAAUGACUAUAAUCCAACAAUGAUCUCCUAUUGUUAAGUAGUGAUUCUGGAUUUUGAGCAAUGGAAGAACUCUAUGCAGUAGUGAUUCUGUUUGGAAGGCUUUGGUUUUUUAUGCCAAAAGUUGUGAAUGCUUCUUUAAUGCUGAUCAAGACAAGGAUUUGGCAAGGCCAUAGUAGACAUAAAGAAAAUGUUGGAGCAAUUUGAUAAGUUGCUCAAUGCCGACACCGUAAUUUUCAAAAAUGCUAGAUGCAAGGUGCUUUUUAGUAUUAACUUUUUGAAGUUAUUCAAGAAACUGAUGUUGGCCUGUUUGGAGAAGUCAGCACUCAGCACUGGAUCUUCUAUUAAAGCUUUCAUGUGGCUGGAGACCCAAGAAGCAAGUGUUGAGAGAAGUUGUAGUAACUCCUCACUAAUUUUGAAGAAAUUUAAGGUUAAAUCUCAUUGUUUGCACAACAGCCUAUUGCAAAGAAUAUGAGAUACAUUCAAAUGAUAAAGGUCUGAGAUGUAUUGCCUCCAGAGGAUAUCUCGAGGAUAUCCCAAAGUUGGAAUAUCGCUUGGAGACGGUUUUAAAUAGAUACACAAAUAAAAUCAUUUUUGUUCAUCUCGCAGCAUCGCGCGAGGGGGAUUAUCUAGUAUAUACUAAAGCUGGUGCAUGCAUCGCUGUUGAUCUUGGCCCCAAAUGGAGUGACGGUUUUGCCCUUGCUACUUGCCUCAACAACGGUUUUUACGGAUAAGAAGAGCCACUAUGAGAGCGAAGAUUUAUAAUAGAGGUUUGGCCGUUUGUUUUGGAAGAGGUUCGGUUUCAGUACAUGCAGAGAGAGGGACUGAGAGCGAAGUAGCUAGGGAUCGAUAGCGGGAUUUGGAUCUUUCAGCAAAAGCAGAGUGUUUCAUAUUACUGCUACAAGGGAGAAUAAUCUCAGUGAUGAUGCCAUAGCUAAAGACAUUAAACAGAAUAUGAAUUUGGAUAUUUGGUUUUCGGUUUCCUAUUCCAGGUCUUCAGAAUGCUUUCUUGAUUGUACUGUAGCAAAUGGAAAAGUUUAUGCUAAUGAUCAUCUAUCAGGUCAAAAUAACCUGCCCAUGCAAGGAGCCGACUGCAGGGAGCUCUUUGUUAGAGAGAUGAUGUGUGCCUCCCACAUGCAUAAUGAUAAAGCCCGCGCUUCAAGGGUGCUUGAGGUCUUGGAGAAAUCCAUUUGUUCACGUGCAUCCAGAGACGCCAGUAAUUGCAGCAUCUGAAGCUACUGGUGGUCCAGUACCAGGAACAACUGUGAAGUCUUGAGAUAAACCAUUCUCAUAUAAAGUUCAAGUAGUACAGCAAGCCAAGUUAAGCUUCAAUCGAGAAGCUUCUUAAUCCAUAUGAUAAGGAGUGAAAGAUGUGGCCAUUUCAAAGCAGAAAAAAAAAAUACGAAUAUGAAAUUAGAUGCAAAUGCAAGAGAGAAGAGAUACGCUUGACGCUGUGGGGAGAAAUAGCACGCAAUCUUGAUACCAAGGCUACAAGGAAUAAAGUAAAACAGCGUCAAAGUGAAACAGAACCAAAACAAGAUUUCACUAUCAUACACAGGAAACAGUUUCUACUUUCUAAAUCCUGAAAUUCCAGAAAGAGAUCAAGCAGCGUCUCUGUAAAGGCGCUCCUGGCUUUCCCAGGCAAUGAAAUCGUGCCAAUCACAACCAACAUUAGCUGCAGAAGAAUCAUCUCGAAGGACCUGAUGUAAAUAGGUUGUUUGAACUACAAAUGUAGAGUUUGCAGGCUGGUUUUGGUUUGAGUGGGGAUCCCAUUAUUACAACUCAUGCAAGCAAGUUGAUGCUGUUGAAAUCAAAUGCACACCAUCUAGAAUAUUACAUACUUGCAAGUGAUCUGUGCAUUCAUCAAUUUUUCGGUACCAGAAGUUGCAGUUUGUCUCCUUCCUCAUCAAAAGUGAAUUUGAAGGCAUAUACUGAUCGAGCUUCAUGAGGAAGAACAAGUGGAACAGACAUUCCAUCCUGGUUCGAAUGAGACAUUGCUUUUGCAAGACAAUGGGAAACAACUUCUUCAAAUCCAAGGAAUGUUAGAACAAAAGAUGAAGCAAUGAGAAGCAAUUCAAGCAGCUAAUGCAAGGCUGGUUUCAGAUCAUUGCUGGAAAGAUUGCUGAUUGUAAAUGAUACUUAAAGCUACUAUAUAUGCAGUGGGCUUCAUCUCUCUUCGACUGAAGCCCCUCAGUUCGAUUCAUAGUUUUCAUGCAGAUGGAGAAGAAACAAAUCUAAGAUUUCAGGACGAACCCAUCUUUUCAAACCAAGUUUACGAAAGAGUCCAGGUGAAUAGGGUGACGAUGAUCAUCAACCGGAACUCGGAAGACUCUUCUGUUCACAUGUUUCAAGCACAAGAUGAAUUUUAGUCUUUGAACGCUCCAGGGAUUAAUCUGUUACUAUUUAGUCACUGCAUGUACUUAUGUGAGUCCCAUCCCCAUUAACUUGGUAAUCAUUAGAAAAGGCUGCUGAAGGUCAUGGAAUUGAUAUUGUUAGUCUCUAGGUUCACACAAAGGAACAUUCUAAGGAUUUACCCCAAAGGAACUUGAAGUUGCCUCCUCGAAUUACCAACCACAUGUUGAAUGGAUGCAUGGAGCUCAAAUGGUUGUCUCUAAUAUGCAGGGAUGUGACAAAUCACGAUGUUUAGACCCAAUGAGGAUGCGGUUACUUGAAAAAGCUCGCCUUUUUAUGCACAAGGGCCCAAAUGAUGAGCAGCUCAGCUCAAAUUUCAGAGGAGCAAUCAUCUGUUCCAAAUGACGAAUUUGACUUUGUACACACAUAUGACUGACUACCUUGUAUAAAAUAGUUGGUCGCCAUUACAAGCCUAAACCAUUUGUUGUAUAAAAUAGUUGGUCGCCAUUACAAGCCUAAACCAUUUGUUGUCAAGCCUGACCAUGUUUGCUAUAUGUACAUAAACACCUACUAUCGUUAGCAUAUCUAACUUUGAAAUCUGGCUAACUUACUAGGUUUUUGAACAUGUAAAACAAUAUAUAAUGUAUAAUGUAGCAAUGUAAUAUAAACAAUGUUUCUAAAUUCAGUAGCAUUGAAUCAAA